rnacentral:lncRNA from 1 species
CUAAAUUACAAAGUCGCUGCUUCCACUUCUGAGGAAGGGAUGGGCAGGAAUGACCAUUGCUGGCUCUGAGGUCCUCUGCUGGCUGUGAGGAGGAAAGAGCACAGGGUUUUGAUUGUCUGCCAGCUCAACCUGAAAUGACUUCUGACUAUGUCACUCUGUUUCACAGCAGAUGAUAUUAUACGCAUGCAUUCUAUCCUCUAGAAUCUGUAACAAUAUUCAAAACGUCCUUGCUGAAAUCAUUUGUUGCUACUUGCUGUCUCCCACUCAGCCCCUGCUUUACGUAACCUGAACCCUCCAGUAAAGGCUGAGGCUGUGGACACUCUUCCUUUUAAUCUGCAUUCAGGCUGAGCACUGUGCACACGGCGCCACAUUCCACAUCCUUUAUCCAUCCUAACAUUUCUUAUGGUGCAUUGCAUUCUGACGGUGUUUACUCCAAACCAGAAGAUAACUGUGUAAGCAAACACACCCUGAGGGACAGCUCAGUUGGUAUAGCAUGAGACUCUAAUCUCAGCGUUGUGGGUUUGAGCCCCACGUUGGGCAAAAGAUUCCUGCAUUGCAAGGGGUUGAAAUAGAUGAUCCUCACUGUCCCUUCCAAGUCCACAUUUCUGUGAUCCUAUGAUUUGGAGCCUUUUAAAGCACAUGGCCCCUCGAAAAGAAUUCUGGGAACUGUAGUUUACCCCUCACAAAGCUCCCAUUCCCAGCAUCUUUAACAAAUCUCAGUUCCCAGGAUUCUUUGGGGAAUGUCGUGCACAUCAAAUGCGUUUUACAUGUGCUGGCAAAGUGUACACAGCCAGAGGCAGUUUGGGAUCUUAUUUGUAUGCUCCUUUCCUUCCUUACAUCCUUUGUGUGUUCAAUGGCACUCAGAAUACCCAGCUUCAUUGGGUUAACAGAUGCCUCCAUAUAUAUAUAUAUAUAUAUAUAUAUAUAUAUAUAUAUAUAUAUAUAUAAAGAGCAUGUGUGUUUUCACUUCAAUACUACAGCCUGAAGAAAAGGUUUGCAUAGCUUUUAGGCUUGCUUUUCCUAUGUCUAACAUUUACUGAUCUAACAAAGAGGUGAAGUUUCUUGAUUGAAGAUUGCAAUAAGCCUCUGCAUUGCUUUAUUGGAAUGCUAAUAAUAAUAAUAAUAAUAAUAAUAAUAAUAAUAAUAAUAAUACAGCUUUAAUGCUGCUAAUUCAACAAUGAAAGCUGCUGGUGUAGCAAAGGGCAUACUGCUGAAAAUCACUGAUAAAAAGUUGGCCAAACUUUCCCCUCCCUUCUCUCUCAUUUCUUCAGGCUAUUUAAGCACUCCCCUCCUAUCGUGCCAACAGAAGACAUUUUACAAAGCUGCCAUUCCCAGCAUCUUUAACAAAUCUCAGUUCCCAGGAUUCUUUGGGGAAUGUUGUGCACAUCAAAUGUGCUUUAAAUGUGCUGGCAAAGUGUACACAGCCAGAGGCAGUUUGGGAUCUUAUUCAUACGGUCCUUUCUUUCCUUACAUCCUCUGUGUGUUCUUCUGGCCCUUGGAACACCCAGCUUUCAGGCCUUCAUAAAACAGCUAUUUUUUAUCCUGUGAAAGCAAUGCUGCUAAGUCAACAAGGAAACUGCUGGUUUACAAAGGACAUUCUGCUGAAGGUUACUGAUAAAAGGUUGGCCAUAGGUUUCCCCGCCCUUCUCUCUCAUUUCUUCAGGCCAUUUGCUUAGACAAGCCCCUCUUAUCGUGCCAACAGAAGGCAUUUUAUUGGAAAGAGGAACUUCAUUUUUCUCACUCGAGUUUUCCUUUUGCCGCAAGAGUGUCGAUCAGUUUCAGCCUGCAGCCAAGAACUGAACAAGCACAGAAGGAGAAAAUGGCACUUAGCAAAGACCGUGGCAUUACAAUGAAUGAUGGGAACAAAAUCCCCGUAUUGGGGUUUGGAACAUAUACCCCAGACACUGUAAGUAACACAUUUAACUCUCAGAUUCUUGUAAUUUGUUUUUGAAGAGAAAAAGGCCUGCCAGCUGCUGAGUGCUUCAUACAUUGCAAAGCACAGCACAAGAUGCCUCACCUGAUCUGAGAAGCCAAUUGUGCAUGAGAACUUAUUGUGUCACAGCAGCCAAGAAUGCAACAGAUGCCUUGCAGCACAUAAAGCGCUGCUUCUUGUUCAACAAGGGUCUUCAGCCAGCAGAUUCAGGAGCAAAUAAUGUUUUGUGCAAGACUUGGAUGGUUUGUAGCUGAGAAACAGUUUCCAGUGUGAAUGUCCGCAGGGUUCAAAGUCCCCAGUGCAAAAUGUCUAGUGAUGUUUAAAAAAAUCUUUCUAUAGAACUAUAAGUGCCCACUAUUACUUUUAUUGGGAGUAAUACUAUUAUCCAAAAUCACCAGACAUUAGCUAACUAUUUUGGACACUAACAAUAAAUAUAGAAUCAAUUCUUUAUCCAAACCAUCUUCAUUUGGUCCAUAUAACCAGCAAUGCAAAUGAAGGGAUCGGUGUCGAUUCUUAUUAUAUAAUUAAAUUAAUUUCUAGGAAUAUCAUGAAUUUACCAAAUAAAAGCUACCACUCAGUUUUUUUGAAGGAAUUUUCCUUUUUCCCUUUUUCCAAUUCAUAUCUACUCCAUUCACAUAUAAAGUGAGGGUAGAAUCUAUUUUAUACAAAGACAUACAUGCUGACGAAGAGACUUCCUCAAUCCCUUCUUGGAUAUCUCAUCUACUGUCUUUCACAAACAUUAAAAGAUUUUUUAAAAAGAGCAUUCUACAAACUGUAUGUGUCAACAGUGUUCCACUGUUUAAACCAAAAUAACUGACAAGUUAAUUGAUUGCUCGUUUUAAAUCCUGCAUGCCAUUCGGUGGCACAAUGUUAUUUGGCAUAAUACAACGCAUAUAAAUCACUUUUUCGCAUGUUUUUUCUUUAUUUUUAUUUGAUGACUCAGGUCUAGUUUGACAAUGUCCACCGACAAUCAGUGUUACUUUGAUAUAAAUUUCUCCACUGUGGCAGAAACCUUGACUAACUUUUUCACCUUUUCAACUGGUAGAUUCAAAAAAGCAAGUGUGAGGAGGCUACAAAGAUAGCAAUAGAAUUCGGCUUCCGUCAUAUUGAUGGCGCAUAUGUAUACCAGACAGAGGAGCACGUUGGGCGGGCCGUUCGUGCGAAGAUUUCAGAUGGAACAGUAAAAAGGGAAGACAUUUUCUACACUGGAAAAGUGAGUGAGUUUGGCAAAAUGUUUUACAAAAAUUGAGUAAAAUAUAGUGCCUGCAUCAUGAUGCUAUUUCACAGACAUUAUUUAACAAAAUCAGAGCAAAAUGCCUCUCCCUAUAUAAACCUACCCAGACUCUGCAUUCAUCCUCCGAGGCUCUUCUUUGUAUGCCUCCUCCAUGUGAGGCUCGGAGGGCGGCAAAACGAGAACGGGGCCUUUUCUGUUGGGGGAAUGCUCUCUGCAGGGAGGUUCAUUAUACACCUCUAGGUACCAGGCGAAUAUGUUCCUCUUCAACCAGGCCUUGGGCUUAUUAAUAUUCUACACCCUGUUUAAACCUGUUUGUGGGAGGAUGGAUUACAGUUCUGUUGCUUCUGUUUUGACUAUUUAUUUGUGCUUUUAUCUUGUGCUUUUAUCUUUGUGAACUGCUCCAAGAUCUUUUGAUGAAGGGCAAUAUAGAAAUUUAAUAAAUAAAUAGUAAAAAUAUUAUUUAUAAUCAAUAAUGGUUUUAAAAUUGCUUUCAGAAUUCAGAAUACUCUUCAGAACAAUAUUUAAGUUUGCCCUUAACACUGUGCACACCAGAAUAAUCAUCUGCCACAGCUAUAUGGUCCCGAGACCCAAAAACUCUAUGGCUGUGUGAAAAUAUAAAUAUCUUUAUAAUUUUGACAGCUCUGGAGUACCUUCCACCGUCCUGAGCUGGUUCGGAAAUGCUUAGAAGAAUCCCUGAAGAAACUCCAGUUUGACUACAUGGAUCUGUUCAUAAUUCACAAUCCAUAUUCUAUGAAGGUAAAUCAUUAUUGAUGUCAUAAUACAAGUAUUGAGUACAAUAUUUGAAUUGGGGGGAGGAGGGGGGAGAGCCUACUAAAAAUAUUUUAUUCCUUGAAGGAACAUUGGGAAUUGGCAUUUCCCAGAGAUGCUGACAGUUCUCUGCUAGAACAUAUCUUAAUCAAAGAAUGAUCACUCCCAGAUUUUGGGGGAGAAACCAUGCCAGUUAAAGAAAACCUUUGCAUAUAAUGAUUACAUUAACCACAUAGGCAUCAUAAGAAAGAAAUUGUGUGCAGAGCAGGACUUGGCGAGGGAGCGAGGGAAGAAUAAAAAGGGUUGGAGAGAUGGGGAGACAGACCUGGGCUUGUUACUUGAGUUUCCCACAGAUCCCUGCACUGUGGUAUCGGCCCCUGCAAGGUGAACUCCCUUUUUUAUCACUGUCCAUUAGUAUUAGAUAAUAUUACAGAGAUAAGAGAACUUCUAGGCCUGAAGUGCAUUUAUUCCCUCCGCCUCCUUCUUUUCCAGCCUGGACCAGAUUUAAUUCCCAUGGGAGAAGACAAAAAAAUGAUUUUUGACAACGUAGAUCUUCGUCAGACAUGGGAGGUAGGUGCCUGGGAUUAGCAAAUCCAGCCCUUGAGUCAUUCGGAUACAGAGCACAGUAGCCUUCCACCAGAGGAGGCAUGUCCAGAACAAUGACUCACACAAUGGCACCUAUGAGAGCUGGUGAAUUAUUGCACAGUCUUGGGAGUAUAUGAGUUAGCCUCCAAUCUUAAUCUGGAAAAAGGUGUGGCCUCAGCUAUUCAACAAACACCACUCAACAAACAUGUUGUGCUUUCUUUGCCAGGCAAUGGAGGCGUGCAAAGAUGCCGGCUUGGUGAGGUCCAUCGGAGUGUCCAACUUCACCCGGAAGCAGCUGGAAAUGAUCCUGAACAAGCCAGGGUUGAAAUACAAGCCAGUGAUAAACCAGGUCAAGUGUGAUUGCUUUUUCUAGGGGUUUGUUCCAAGCAUGGUUGAAAGCUUCUUUAUUUAAGCUCUUUUGUGAGAGGACCUUUGUUUGGAUGAACAUAGCCAUUCCCUUGAAAAACUUGCUUAAGGCUAUAAGGUUGCAGAUCCAGUCACAAGAAGUUAUGGUUAUGAGUUGUGGGGUGGACUCCCCUAAAUUCCUAGAACCAGUAAUGGGUUCUCAUUUAAUCAAGACCUCUGAAUCCUCAGACAAAAGGAAGUGUGGAGAAGUCCCUAAUUUUUGAAACAGGCAUCUCAGGUAGAAGGAGGCCUGCAAGCAGUCAGGGCCCACACAGCCUCUUGUGGGGACUCUGGAAGUUCUCAACUGUGGAGCGAAGUGCUUUUGAGUUAGAAGAAGAAGAAGAAGAGUUUGGAUUUGAUAUCCCGCCUUUAACUCCCCUUCAGGAGUCUCAAAGCGGCUAACAUUCUCCUUUCCCUUCCUCCCCCACAACAAACACUCUGUGAGGUGAGUGAGGCUGAGAGACUUCAGAGAAGUGUGACUGGCCCAAGGUCACCCAGCAGCUGCAUGUGGAGGAGCGGAGAUGCGAACCCGGUUCCCCAGAUUACGAGACUACCGCUCUUAACCACUACACCACACUGGCAUCUGGGCAAAGCUGUUGCACCCAAGCAGCCCAGAUUCACUUGGACACUGGUGUAUAUCAUAUAACCAAUGAGACCGAAGUUUUUUUAAGACCCUGAUAAAGAAGAGUCCCGGAUGAUAUAGAGCAGGCUUCCUCAACCUCGGCCCUUCCAUAUGUUUUUGGCCUACAACUCCCACGAUCCCUAGCUAGGAGGACCAGUGGUCAGGGAUUUUGGGAAUUAUAGUCUCAAAACAUCUGGAGGGCUGAGAUUGAGGAAGCCUGAUAUAGAGGCAUCUGCUCAGCUUGAUGGAAAGCCAGGAGAAUCCCCCAUCAGACCUUUCUGCUCAAGGUAGAAAAUUCAGAGAUUGAGUGGGCAGAAAUAGAGACACUGCAGGCAGGACAGUGUGCCCAGGAUAUUUCCAACAGGGCUGGAGUGACAGGAGAUUGUGGGGGAAUAAGCCCUGUCCCCCAUCUUCAGCUAACACACAUUUCACAGAGGAGGAGUUUGGCAAUGGAAACCACAAAUGCAAGAAUGGUCAUCUAAAGAUUCUGAUGCAUCAGAAAACAAAACCAACUUUAAGAAAAGAAACACUGGGAUAUUUCAAAAAAAUAAUAGCAUGCUUCUGCUUUUCUGUCUUUCCUUUGUUUCACUGUAUUCUUCGUUUUAUCUGAAUUCUCACUUUUGGGUUGUGUUGGGGGAUUUUGAAUCCACAGGUAGAAUGCCAUCCUUAUCGGAACCAAAGCAAGCUGCUGGCCUUCUGCAAGUCAAACAAUAUCAUCCUGGAAGGAUAUAGUGUCCUAGGAUCCCAAAGGGACCCAAGAUGGUAAGCCAAAAUGUUUGGGGACCACCAAUGCCAACUAUUCCCCAGCAUCCAGAUCAGCUCUGAAAGUUGUACUCUUGGUCCCACAAUUAAUAAAGAUCCUCAUGGUGGAUACCAGCACCAGGGCCUUUUCUGUGGUGGCCCCACAAUUGGGGAAGUCAUUACACAGAGAGAUCUACAAAGCUCUUCCCCUCCCAUUUUAGACAUUCUCAGAAACCUUCCCAUUGCUGAAGUGUUUUUAUAUAUAUAUAACUGCUUGACCUCUCCCAAACGUAUGUUUUUAAAUGUUGCGGGCUGGGAGCUAUUUAAUAAUUUCUGCUUCUGAAAUUUUGUGCUGUUUUUAAAUCAUAUUUCUAUUAUGUUUAAUGUUGCUUUAAGCAGUAGAAUGGCAGAGAUGAAAGGACCCUGUAUCCAGGCUUACAUUUACUGUAAAUAAUUAUAGCAUUUCUCUUUUUACAUAGCUUGUUUUGUGUGUCUCAGAAUUUUAAAUUGUAUUGUUUUUAUCUAUAUUGGAAGCCACUUAAAUGCUUAUUUUUAACAAGUGAGACCAGCAAGAAAUAUUGAGUUUUCUUUCACGACAAUGAGCUGUGCAUUCCUCCAGAGUCCUCCAUUUCAUUCGAACAUCAACUCUUCAGCAGGCACACAGGAUUCUUUGGGCCUUUCUUUCCCCCCUUAGGUCCUCCCCCCCCCCAAUACUGAUUGUACUUAAGCAAAGAAAAGACCUCCCUUUUGUGCACAAAUGCUACCAUUUUGCCUACAGAAUAGUCCAUAUGCAAUGUAUGAGUUUGCGAUUUAUUGGUGGCGGGGGUAGAGCACGAUACUAAACACUUAUAUUAGUUCAAAUCCACUAACCAAGCUUUAAAUACAAAAUAUUUAGUGUAUUUUGCAUGGACUAGGCCAAUACUGUAUUAAUUUUAGAGUGAGAUUUAUAUAUUCUGGACACCAGAAACAUACCUUCUCUCCAUGUUGCUUUCCGGCAGGAUAGAUCAAAACACUCCUGUCCUGCUUGAAGACCCUCUGUUAGUUGCGAUGGCCAAGAAGUACAACAAAACCCCAGCUCUCGUGGCUAUUCGCUACCAACUGCAGCGUGGCCUGGUGGUCCUGGUGAAGACCUACACCAGAAAGCGAAUUGAGGAAAAUGCCCAGGUAAAGCAGUAUAUAUUAAUCCAUUUAAAAACAAUACCGAAAAAGCACGUCACUUGGACACUGUGAUCUCACGGGUCACAUGACACAUGCGGGAGGGAAGAUGCGCAACUUGUUUUGGGGACUCAAGAUGUUGGAGGUGUUUCUAGCAGUGGGUAUUCAGAAGAAUCACUGCCUCAGACCGUGAAGGUAGAGUGCAGCCAUCAUGACUAGCUUCCAUUGCUAUUCUUAUCCACUAUGAACUUGUCUAAUGUUUAAAGCCAUCCAAGUUGGUGGCUGUCACUGCCUCCCGUGGGAGCAAGUUCAGUAGUUUAGCUAUGAGCUGCAUGAAGAAGUAGUGAACUACAUUCAUUGGAAUAUGACCUCCCUCAUCCCUGACCAUUGGACAUGAUGGCUGAGACUGAUGGGGAGUUGGAGUCCAUCCACAUCUGGGGGGCCACAGCUUUCCCACUCCUGUUCUAUUGCAAACCUAUAUUACUAUGCAUAUAAAAUUCCCUCAGUGGGAGGACAUCUGGACUGAAGUUGUUGAAUGAAGGGAUUGAACUUUGGAAGGUGGUAGCAAAGUUUGCUUUGAUAUCAUUGUUGCUGGAAAAAGGUGCACAAUUCUGAGGUGCAAAAAGAAGGCCUGAGGUAAAAGCACCUUAGCAUUUUAUUUUCUUCCCCUGACAGGCAUUUACUUUCCAGCUCUCUGAGGAGGAUAUGAAAUCCAUUGAUGGCCUUCACAAAAGCAUGAGCUUUUUAAAAGCGGAAAUGUAAGUCACAUUGAUAUAGUAAGCAUAUAAAUACAUAAAAGUGGUGCACGCAAGAAUUCACACUGUGAGAGCAAAAGGAAGAAACUAUCUGGCAUCCAUCUCUUCUCUUCAUAGAGAAUAAGGUGAAAUUCAUAGAGAAUAAGGUGAAAUUAUAGAAUUAUAGAAAUUAUAGAAUUAUAGAAAUUAUGGAGACUUUGUACGAAUCCCCAUGCAUUGUUGGAGUGGGGUGCAUUUUGAAUUUCAGCCUCCCAGAUAGUCAGCAGGGUGGGCAUUUGAUGGCAAACUAGGGGGGCUUACAAUGCACUGUGUGAAAUGUUCUCAUGACCCAAUGGCUGGCAACAGAUCUAUUUUUGUUCCUUCUGCGCCUUCCACACCCCUCUCUUUUCUUUUGUUUCAGAUUUGCUGGUCACCCACAAUAUUACCCACCAGAUGUGGAAUAAGGACCCAUCCCCCAUCUCCAAUUUAUCCCCUUCUGAACCUGGGUCCUUUUGCAUGGAAAAAAAUUGUUCUAACUAGGGGGUGGGCAAAUCUGUCAGUAUCAAUUCCUCCCAGCAACCCAGUGUCUCAUUUUCCACUCUUCAGUUCCUCACAUCCCCAAAUCAGUUUGGGAUUUUUGAAAAUCUCUUGAAAAUGCAUCCUUGCAAAUUUCUCCUACCAUACACAUUUUUCUUUGCACUUUUGGCUAAAAUAAAGCAUGUUUGCAUGGUGUUUUCACUGAUAUAUGCUCUUAAUGCAUACUUUACCACAGUAUAUACAUUUUUGCAAUUAUUCUGUAACUGAACAACUGCAUCACAAAAUUCAGAGGAUUGCCACUUUCUCAGGAUAACUGCAUAUAUGUCAAAUAGCACUUACAAGGGGGUGAUUCGUAUACUGAAAAUAGCACAAGGGGAGGAUUAACUUCCAUAAAAAGAAGCAAUUGCAUAGCCUGAGAUUUAUUGCCAAGAUGAUUUGAAAUACCUUCAGAAAAUAAGAAGGGCCUGCUGAAUCAGGCCAGUGGCCCAUCUAGUCCAGCAUCUGGUUCUCCCAGUAGCCAACCAGACGCCUGUGGGAAGCAGGACAUGAGGGGAAACUUCUAAAUUACAAAGUCGCUGCUUCCACUUCUGAGGAAGGGAUGGGCAGGAAUGACCAUUGCUGGCUGUGAGGUCCUCUGCUGGCUGUGAGGAGUAAAGAGAACUGGGUUUCGAUUGUCUGCCACCACGGCCUGAAAUGACUUCUGACCAUGUUAUACGCAUGCAUUCUAGCCUCUGGAAUCUGUAACAAUAUUCAAUAUGUCCUUUCUGUAAUAAUUUGUUGCUACUUGCUGUCUCCCACUCAGCCCCUGCUUUGCACAACCUGAACCCUCCAGUAAAGGCUGAGGCUAUGGACACUCUUCCUUUUAAUCUGCAUUCAGGCUGAGCAUUGUGCACACAGUGCCACAUUCCACUCAGAACACCCAGCUUCAUUGGGUUAACAGAUGCCUCCACAUAUUUCAUUUAUUAUUCUGUUUCUGAGCAUACGUGUUUUCAUUUCAAUACUACAGCCUGAAUAAAAGGUCUGCAUAGCUUUUAGGCUUGCUUUUCCUAUGUUUAACAUUUACUAAUUUAACAAAGAGGUGAUGUCUCUUGAUCAAAGAUUGCAAUAGGCCUCUGCAUUCCUUUAUUGGAACGCUAUUAUUAUUAUUAUUAUUAUUAUUAUUAUUAUUAAUCAGACAGCUAUUAUUUAUCCUGUGAAAGCAGUACUACUAAGUCAACAAUGUAAACUCUGGGGCAUCAAAGGAUAUUCUGCUGAAAAUUACUGGUAAAAAUUUGGCCCUAGGUUUCCCUGCCCUUCUUUCUUAUUUCUUCAGGGCAUUUUCUUAGACAUUCCCCUCCUAUCAUGCCAACAGAAGACAUUUCACUGGAAACAGGAACUUCAUUUUUCUGACUUGAGUUUUCUAUUGAAUUUUAAACAGAUUGAGCUUUAAUCAUCUUUAGACAACUGACAGGCAACCCAUAGAUUUCAUGUAGAAAUGCAUACAAUUUUGCAAAAAAGCAUUACCAUUUAAACCUCUAUCAUGAAGUCGUAACCUC